rnacentral:rRNA from 1 species
CCUACGGGUGGCAGCAGUGAGGAAUAUUGGUCAAUGAGCGGAAGCCUGAACCAGCCAAGUAGCGUGCAGGAUGACGGCCCUACGGGUUGUAAACUGCUUUUAUACGGGAAUAACGCGCCUUACGUGUAGGGCUUUGCAUGUACCGUAUGAAUAAGGACCGGCUAAUGCCGUGCCAGCAGCCGCGGUAAUACGGUAGGUCCGGGCGUUAUCCGGAUGUGUUGGGUUUAAAGGGAGCGUAGGCCGGAUGGCUAGCUUGCUGUGAAAUGUCCGGGCUCAGCCCGGGCCUUGCAGCGCGAACUGGCGUGCUUGAGUCCGCGGAAGGCAGGCGGAAUUCGACGUGUAGCGUUGAAAUGCUUAGAUAUGACGAAGAACCCCGAUUGCGAAGGCAGCUUGCUGCAGCGGAACUGACGCUGAUGCUCGAAAGCGCGGGUAUCGAACAGGAUUAGAUACCCCAGUAGUC